GGCUAACGCUGGCGGCGUGUCUUAGCCAUGCAAGUCGAGCGGACUUAUGGGGUAACUUAUAAGUCAGCGGCGGACGGCGGAGUAACACGUAGCUAACCUACCCUCUGGACGGGGAUAACCUACCGAAAGGUGGGCUAAUACCCGAUGUAGUCAUCCUGUAUAGGGGUGAUGAAAGGUGGGCUUCUGUUUACAAGCUCAUGCUGGAGGAGGGGGCUGCGGCCUAUCAGGUAGUUGGUAGGGUAAUAGCCUACCAAGCCGAUGACGGGUAGCCGGCCUGAGAGGGUGACCGGCCCGAGGGGCACUGAGAUACGGGUCCCACUCCUACGGGAGGCAGCAGGCUAGAAAUUUGGGCAAUGGGGGAAACCCUGACCCAGUGACGCCGCGUGCAGGAAGGAGCCCUUCGGGGUGUAAACUGCUGUCGUGUAGGGAGAAGGGUACUAAGGUGAACAAUCUUAGUACUUGACGGUACUACAGGAGGAAGCCCAGGCUAACCUCGUGCCAGCAGCCGCGGUAAGAUAGCGUA
rnacentral:rRNA from 1 species